rnacentral:tRNA from 2 species
CCAUCGGUCGCUCAGGCUGGUAGAGCAGAUUCCUAACGGAAUUAGUCGCGGGUUCAAAUCCCGUCCGAUGGU